rnacentral:lncRNA from 1 species
UUAACACCAAUCAUAGUCAAACUGUUUGACUUGAAAAAAUACACACAUAUUUUUUUUAAAGAGCCAUUUGGGAGCCAAAAGAGACGGCUCUUUUUGGUGAGCUGAGUCGAACGAGCCGGCUCACUGAAAAUAGAUGGAAUGCCCAUCACUAUCUUGAACAUGUGUCGUUCCUUCUCUAUUUCUAGAUGCAAUCAGUUACGUGGCAAAAAUCAGAUUGAGACCUUCAAUCAAACUGAGGGCAGAGAAAUAUGUGUGCACCAGACAGGUAAAGGCUUCUUGCAUGCAUGACUUUGAGAGAGUCAAAUGUGAGAGGGCAUCCCAGAUGACCAAGUGACUGAACAAAAUCUGGCCUGCAAACCAGGAACAUGAAGGAGACUGCGAUCCAGAGGGCUCAGUGGACCAGACAGAAUGGGGCCAAGACAGUCAAAGAGCCAUUCCAGACUCUGAAAUCAGGAGGACUUCAAGAAUUAGGUGUUAGUCAGACUAGUGAUUGACUAGUGAUUGACUGCAAUGGAAAAGUAAUUGUUUGUCAACAAAAUAACACAAUUUUAAGUAGUAUGGUGCAGAGUCUCACAAGCAUUAGAAACAGCAGUGGGUGUGAAUACGGUGGGAACAUGUGGAUCUGAGCAAGUGUGAUGUCAUUAAGGUUUGUGGAUAUGUACAGUAUGUAAAUGUAGGUUGUCUAUUGUUUUUGACAAUGUAUGUUUUUGUUUGUAAAAAAACAAAGUAAAAUCAAAUAAUAUUUUUUUUUUUAUUGUUUGCUUUACUACAGAUUGCUCAGGACUUCUACAUUUUAAACCUGGACUGCUUGUGGAAACUCACUGAUAACUGGAUCACAGUCUUCAAGGACAAAAAAACUUUGCUUCGCCAGUCCAGAGAGAAGCAGGCCCAAGAUUUUCUCUUCAAAGUGCAAGUAUUGUUUGAAAUGACCCUGCUGGUGGUGCCUCAGAUGCUCAGUUAUAAUCAAGUUAUUCACUAAACAUUCAUCUCUCCAGAUACACAAGGUGACGUCACUUGAAGACGUCACUUUAAGACUAUUAGUGGUCCUCCCAACACCAGUCUACAAGAUAGGCAGGAAGACAUUCCGACCCAGCUUCAAUGAGACCAGAAAGUCCUUCAUUGACUUGCAGCCUGUAAGUUUAAAUAGUGCAUAGGCAAAGGGAGAUUGAUGAGUAAAUUAGAUGAUGGCAUUUUGUAAACCUUGAAUGAAAGGAACACCAUUCCAAAAUCUGUAACGCAUAACUGCACACUCCAAGACAUUAGGAAGGUUUCCAUCCCAUUUGCGACAGAUUUUCAUGCGAAUAUUCUCAAAUCUGCAUUAAACAAUAUGCACAUUUUCUCACCGGAGAUGUUUCCAGCAAACAGACUUUUUGUGGAUAAAAGACUGUGUGAUGACAUAGUGCACGUAAAUUACUUUUGCCGUUAAAUGUACCAAAUAAAAAGAUGCAAGUGAAAUGGAUUUCCAUCGCAUUUUCAACUGUACUGAUGGUUUUGUGACAAACUGUUGCAUACAAACCCUGAAAUUUCCAUCCCUAACUAUAACAUUUUCCGACAAGAUAUAACUGCCAAAGGGGGCGGGGUUGCAAUCUACUACAGAGAUAGCCUGCAGAGUUCUGUCUUACUAUCCAAGUCUGUACCCAAACAAUUUGAGCUUCUACUUUUAAAAAUCCACCUUUCCAGAAACAAGUCUCUCACCGUUGCCGCUUGCUAUAGACCACCCUCUGCCCCCAGCUGUGCCCCGGACACCAUAUGUGAAUUGAUUGCCCCCCAUCUAUCUUCAGAGCUCGUGCUGCUAGGUGACGUAAACUGGGACAUGCUUAACACCCCGGCCAUCCUACAAUCUAAGCUAGAUGCCCUCAAUCUCACACAAAUGAUCAAGGAACCCACCAGUGCAUGCAUUCAACAACCUUUGGGACGAAGGACUUCCACAGGGCCACCAUCUCCAAAGUUCACUCAAAAAAAAGGGCAUAGUUCUGAACUGUGUUUGAUUUCGUUUUUGUUGUUUUAAUUAAUAAAACAUUUUUAAUUAUCUUUUUAAACUUCCAUUGGUUGAAAUCUAUUGCUCAGUUAUCACUUGGCUCAUGUAAAUAAUUAUGUAGUUGUCCCUUUAAACAUCCUAAGGUCAUCAUCCCCAUAGUGUUCCCAUUUCUCUCACUCAUAAAUGUUGUAGAUCAAUAAAAAUAUUAAAUAAACAAUUUAUUUGGGAAA